UACGUAGGGUGCGAGCGUUUGUCCGGAAUUAUUGGGCGUAAAGGGCUCGUAGGCGGUCUGUCACGUCGGGAGUGAAAACUCAGGGCUUAACCCUGAGCCUGCUUCCGAUACGGGCAGACUAGAGGUAUGCAGGGGAGAACGGAAUUCCUGGUGUAGCGGUGAAAUGCGCAGAUAUCAGGAGGAACACCGGUGGCGAAGGCGGUUCUCUGGGCCGAUACUGACGCUGAGGAGCGAAAGCGUGGGGAGCGAACAGG
rnacentral:rRNA from 1 species